rnacentral:rRNA from 1 species
UACGGGGGGGAGCAAGCGUUGUUCGGAUUUACUGGGCGUAAAGGGCGCGUAGGCGGCACCGCAAGUCGACUGUGAAAUCUCCGGGCUUAACCCGGAAAGGUCAGCCGAUACUGCGGGGCUAGAGUGCAGAAGGGGCAACUGGAAUUCUCGGUGUAGCGGUGAAAAUGCGUAGAGAUCGGGAGGAAUACCGGUGGCGAAAAGCGACUCUCUGGACGGCAACUGACGCUGAGGCACGAAAGCGUGGGGAG